AGAGCGAACGCUGGCGGCAGGCCUAACACAUGCAAGUCGAACGGACUCUUCGGAGUUAGUGGCGGACGGGUGAGUAACACGUGGGAACGUGCCUUUAGGUUCGGAAUAGCUCCUGGAAACGGGUGGUAAUGCCGAAUGUGCCCUUCGGGGGAAAGAUUUAUCGCCUUUAGAGCGGCCCGCGUCUGAUUAGCUAGUUGGUGAGGUAAAGGCUCACCAAGGCUACGAUCAGUAGCUGGUCUGAGAGGAUGACCAGCCACAUUGGGACUGAGACACGGCCCAAACUCCUACGGGAGGCAGCAGUGGGGAAUCGUUGCGCAAUGGGCGAAAGCCUGACGCAGCCAUGCCGCGUGAAUGAUGAAGGUCUUAGGAUUAGUAAAAUUCUUUCAGUAGGGACGAUAAUGACGUACUACAGAAGAAGCCCGGCUAACUCGUGCCAGCAGCCGC
rnacentral:rRNA from 1 species